CUUCCUACGGGAGGCAGCAGUGAGGAAUAUUGGUCAAUGGGCGCAAGCCUGAACCAGCCAUCCCGCGUGAAGGAUGACGGCCCUAUGGGUUGUAAACUUCUUUUAUACAGGAAGAAAAAUCUCUACGUGUAGAGACUUGCCGGUACUGUAUGAAUAAGCAUCGGCUAACUCCGUGCCAGCAGCCGCGGUAAUACGGAGGAUGCAAGCGUUAUCCGGAUUCAUUGGGUUUAAAGGGUGCGUAGACGGCUCUUUAAGUCAGUGGUGAAAUCCUGUCGCUCAACGAUAGAAUUGCCAUUGAUACUGAAGAGCUUGAGUUCAGUUGAGGUAAGCGGAAUGUGUAGUGUAGCGGUGAAAUGCUUAGAUAUUACACAGAACACCGAUUGCGAAGGCAGCUUACUAAACUGACACUGACGCUGAUGCACGAAAGCGUGGGGAUCGAACAGGAUUAGAUACCCUGGUAGUCCACGCCGUAAACGAUGAUCACUCGCUGUAUGCGAUACACAGUAUGCGGCCAAGCGAAAGCAUUAAGUGAUCCACCUGGGGAGUACGAUCGCAAGGUUGAAACUCAAAGGAAUUGACGGGGGCCCGCACAAGCGGAGGAACAUGUGGUUUAAUUCGAUGAUACGCGAG
rnacentral:rRNA from 1 species